AUGGUUACUUUAAACUUUGUUGUCACUAUAACUGUUCCACAUUUAUCCUUCAUCUCUGUUUCUCAGGGUAUGGUUGAAAUGAAGAUGAGAAGGCAGAGGCAGAUUGUACAUCCCAUACUACAAAGCACGGAGAGGCUCAUCCUAUUCACAACUGACAGAGGGUCCAGGAGGUAUUUUGGAAGAGAAAAAGGCUUGAAGUCUGAAAAUGUGCUGGUAACAUCCAGCUGCAGAGGUGAAGUACAGUCUUCUAGCAUUUGUGUCAUUCUGCGGUCUACUCUUUUCAUCUUUGAAGUCACCUGUGCAACUUUCUCCACAGCAGGUAAGUAUUGGUACUGUGUUGUUUGUUUGCAAAAAUCUCUUGGGGAAGAGAUUUCUGUGUU
rnacentral:lncRNA from 1 species